UUUAUGUUUAUUUUUAGGAUGGAGCAAGCACAGUACUCCAAGGCACCAGAGGUACGCCACGCCACCAUGCAGAGGAUUGCCACAUAGAACAUUUGGAGAAGAUCAAGCGGGGCUGACUGAAGCUGGCUGUACAAUCAGAGAGUGUCAAGCUGAGGGCACAGCUAGCUCUACAAUCAUGUAAAACAAGAGGAGCCAUAAGGAAGAAUCCUUUCAAACAGGAUGCCACUGACAAGGCUGUCCAGAACCAAUAUUGCUGCUAAGCUAC